rnacentral:rRNA from 1 species
CUACGGGAGGCAGCAGUGGGGAAUUUUGCGCAAUGGGCGAAAGCCUGACGCAGCAACGCCGCGUGAGUGAUGAAGGCCCUCGGGUCGUAAAGCUCUGUCGGGAGGGAAGAAGUGAUUGAGGGUUAAUACCCCUUGAUCUGACGGUACUCCGAAGAGACCGUCCCCCUACGGGAGGCAGCAGUGGGGAAUUUUGCGCAAUGGGCGAAAGCCUGACGCAGCAACGCCGCGUGAGUGAUGAAGGCCCUCGGGUCGUAAAGCUCUGUCGGGAGGGAAGAAGUGAUUGAGGGUUAAUACCCCUUGAUCUGACGGUACUCCGAAGAGACCGUCCCC